CUGUCGGUGUUAACUGGCAUGUUCUGUGGAACGUCCUGCCGGUGGCGGUCCGGGCUCUCGUUCUGCGUAAGGGUCUCCCGAAGCAGGGCGAAAAGUUCCGGCCGCCGGUUCAAUCCCGCCACGGUGCUCUUCACCGAGUGUCGAGGUGGGCCGGCACUUUUACUUUGAACAAAUUAGAGUGCUUAAAGCAGGCGGUUUCCGCCUGAAUACUGUGUGCAUGGAAUAAUGGAAUAGGACCUCGGUUCUAUUUUGUUGGUUUUCAGAACCCGAGGUAAUGAUUAAUAGGGACAGGCGGGGGCAUUCGUAUUGCGACGUUAGAGGUGAAAUUCUUGGAUCGUCGCAAGACGAACCUAAGCGAAAGCAUUUGCCAAGUAUGUUCUCGUUAAUCAAGAACGAAAGUUAGAGGUUCGAAGGCGAUCAGAUACCGCCCUAGUUCUAACCAUAAACGAUGCCAGCCAGCGAUCCGCCGAAGUUCCUCCGAUGACUCGGCGGGCAGCUUCCGGGAAACCAAAGCUUUUGGGUUCCGGGGGAAGUAUGGUUGCAAAGCUGAAACUUAAAGGAAUUGACGGAAGGGCACCACCAGGAGUGGAGCCUGCGGCUUAAUUUGACUCAACACGGGAAACCUCACCAGGCCCGGACACCGGAAGGAUUGACAGAUUGAGAGCUCUUUCUUGAUUCGGUGGGUGGUGGUGCAUGGCCGUUCUUAGUUGGUGGAGCGAUUUGUCUGGUUAAUUCCGAUAACGAACGAGACUCUAGCCUGUUAACUAGGCGAUUUCCGGUACCCAUAAUAGUGUUACCGGCGAUUCAAUUUCUUCUUAGAGGGACAGGCGGCUUCUAGCCGCACGAGACUGAGCAAUAACAGGUCUGUAAUGCCCUUAGAUGUUCUGGGCCGCACGCGCGCUACACUGAAGGAAUCAGCGUGUCUUCCCUGGCCGACAGGCCCGGGUAACCCGUUGAACCUCCUUCGUGCUAGGGAUUGGGGCUUGCAAUUGUUCCCCAUGAACGAGGAAUUCCCAGUAAGCGCGAGUCAUAAGCUCGCGUUGAUUACGUCCCUGCCCUUUGUACACACCGCCCGUCGCUACUACCGAUUGAAUGAUUUAGUGAGGUCUUCGGACUGGUGCGCGGCUGUCGGGUCUCCGGCAGCCGAUGUUGCCGGAA
rnacentral:rRNA from 1 species